rnacentral:rRNA from 1 species
AUAGCGUAUAUUAAAGUUGUUGCAGUUAAAAAGCUCGUAGUUGAACUUCGAACGUGGCUGGGCGGUCCGCCUCACGGUGUGUACUGUCUGGCUGUGUUCUCUUUCUUGGUGAGCCGGCAUGCCCUUCACUGGGUGUGUUGGGGAACCAGGACGUUUACCUUGAGAAAAUUAGAGUGUUCAAAGCAGGCCUACGCCCGAAUACAUUAGCAUGGCAUAAUAAAAUAGGACGUGUGGUUCUAUUUUGUUGGUUUCUAGAGCCGCAGUAAUGAUUAAUAGGGAUAGUUGGGGGCAUUCGUAUUGCAGCGCUAGAGGUGAAAUUCUUGGACCGUUGCAAGACGAACUAAGG